UGGGGAAUAUUGCACAAUGGGCGAAAGCCUGAUGCAGCGACGCCGCGUGAGGGAUGACGGCCUUCGGGUUGUAAACCUCUUUCAGCAGGGAAGAAGCGAAAGUGACGGUACCUGCAGAAGAAGCGCCGGCUAACUACGUGCCAGCAGCCGCGGUAAUACGUAGGGCGCAAGCGUUGUCCGGAAUUAUUGGGCGUAAAGAGCUCGUAGGCGGUUAGUCGCGUCUGCUGUGAAAACUCGAGGCUCAACCUCGGGCUUGCAGUGGGUACGGGCUGACUAGAGUGCGGUAGGGGUGACUGGAAUUCCUGGUGUAGCGGUGGAAUGCGCAGAUAUCAGGAGGAACACCGAUGGCGAAGGCAGGUCACUGGGCCGCAACUGACGCUGAGGAGCGAAAGCAUGGGGAGCGAACAGGAUUAGAUACCCUGGUAGUCCAUGCCGUAAACGUUGGGCACUAGGUGUGGGGUCCAUUCCACGGAUUCCGUGCCGCAGCAAACGCAUUAAGUGCCCCGCCUGGGGAGUACGGCCGCAAGGCUAAAACUCAAAGGAAUUGACGGGGUCAUAGCUG
rnacentral:rRNA from 1 species